UCGAGGAUAUUUAGCAAUGGGGGAAACCCUGACUAUGCGACGCCGCGUGAGGGAUGAAGUAUUUCGGUACGUAAACCUCUUUCGAUGGGAAAGAACGUUCCAUACUCUAACAUAGUAUGGGAUUGACGGUACCCAGAGAAGAAGCCAUGGCCAACUCCGUGCCAGCAGCCGCGGUAAUACGGGGAUGGCGAGCGUUACUCGGAUUCAUUGGGUGUAAAGGGCAGGUAGGCGGUUAUGUAAGUUGGGGGUGAAAUCCUAAGGCUUAACCUUAGAACUGCCUUCAAUACUGCAUAGCUUGAGGCUAGAAGAGGAGGGCGGAAUUCCCGGUGUAAGGGUGAAAUCUGUAGAUAUCGGGAGGAACACCAGUGGCGAAAGCGGCUCUCUGGUCUAGAUCUGACGCUAAUCUGCGAAAGCUCGGGGAGCAAACA
rnacentral:rRNA from 1 species